CUUUUGUUUCGGUUCAACUCCCGUGUGAUUGGCUAUCAUCUUCUACAUAAAGGAGAAACGGCACUCACUUAAGCUACUUUUUGUCUUUCGGACCGAACAUUUAUGUUAACUACCAGUUUGGAAUCUAUUUUACCAUAUAUCCUUUGUUCACAGGUACCCACACUAAAUUAGCAUUCAAACCAUGGAAUUUCUGGAGUCAACAAAGACGGACCUGUGCCAGUGGUUAUCAACAGAUGCUCAGUAUAUCAUUGACAAGUGUCAAGAUAUUUUAUCCUUUAAACAAGGAAAGGCUGUGUGCAACCAAGACACUGAUGAAAAGAAGAUCAGCAUGCUGUUGAAAUUUAUCAUGGAAAUGGGAGAGGAAACAUGUGAGGAGUUCCAUGAGAUUCUGAAAAAAGAGAAGAAGCAAUACCCGAGCCUUGAACAGCAUUUCAGCAAGACCAUGGAUGGUCCAACAGUGUAUGCGGAUUGCAACAGCAUCGUUGACACCCGAAAAACGUCCAUGUUAAAAAAGACUUAAAUAUGGAUGCAACUGUUCAAGCAGGAGGGAUGAAUCCAUCUGGAUUCAACCACAGCCAACCACCCCCACGUGCAAAUAUGGUUGCAACCAAUAACAGUAAUAUAAUUUCACCAGGAAUAUCAAACUGUAUAGUUGAUGGAGACCUCAAUAUGUCUUUAAGACAGGCCCCACCCCACAAUGCCCCACACUGUCCAGGACCUUCUGAGUCAAAGGAGAGUAAAUUAACCUCAACAUGUUCCAUUGCAGACAUACCUGAGUUUUUGCAAAGAAACCGCUCGGAUUUGAUCAAUAAAGUUAAAAACGUGAUGGCCAUUUUAGAUACCAUGCAGAGCACAGUGUAUCCAAAGGAACUGGCCGCCAACGUUAAAGCCCAGCCGACAGAACAAAAAAUGAUGCGGGAGAUUCUGGACACUGUGACGACCCCCGUGGCCAUGAAGGCCCUGAUAGAAGCCCUUUUUCUUCAUCAGAAGGAUGUCAUGGGUUACCUGACCUGAUGGAUGAAGAAGCUUGACAUGUUCAAUUAAUGUUUUAUUCAUGCUUGUGCAGCCGUGCAGGUGUUGGUGUUGGGGAUGUUUUCACGUUUAAAGAAAAUAUCCCCUUUAAGGGACCUUUUCGUUUAACACUUUACAAUAAGGGGACAUUCAUUGUCAUAGGUUAAUAUAGUAAUUAACGUCAACUAACAGCAAGUUAUAAGUCUUCAUAAACAUUUAUUUAUCUUUGUUAAUAUCAACCAAGGGGAUAAUAAAUAUGAACUUUAGUAAUUGUUUUAGUGAAAAUCAAUUGACAGUAAUGAGCUUCACGAAGUGAUUGUUCUUGUAUAUUCAUGUUUAUGUAUACAUACAUUAAUCAACAACUGGAUUCUACAUUUCUAAGCUUGUUUUCUGCUUCUGAAAUAUAAAUGACUUGCUUGUCCUCUUGGGUGAAAUUUUUUUGAAAACAUGUUGGGAACAUAAUCUUAAAUGCUUGUGUGCGCUUACUGUGACAUUACUAAAUAGUGUGGGAACAUUUACUGAAUGUAUUGUAUGCAUGGCCCUUAUGGCAUACUGGUCUAGAAACAAAUGUUUUACUAAGGUUUGCAGGCUCUUCAUUAGCAUUACUUAAUAGUAAAAAACAUUAAUUGAAAGCAUUAGUGACCCUUAUUAUCGGAUAAAAUAUCUUCACACUUGUCAAUGAUAUACUGAGCACACGUUGAUAACCACUGGCACAGGUCCGUCUUUGUUGACUGAUUUAAAUGUCUAAUACUCAGUACGUUAAAGGUUUUGAUUCAAGAGGUAUGACGCAUAGAUUGAACAACUCAACUACAAGCAUGAAUUCUUAUUUUAUUAAAGAGGGGAAAACAACUAUUAUCUUCGACAAUGAAAAAUAAAUCACAGUUCCCUCAGAAGUGACCUUAGAACUGUGAGCACUAAUCUCAUUAAAAGGUU